AGGCGGCGAUUUAAGUCAGAGGUGAAAGCCCGGGGCUCAACCCCGGAACUGCCCUUGAGACUGGAUUGCUUGAAUCCUGGAGAGGUGAGUGGAAUUCCGAGUGUAGAGGUGAAAUUCGUAGAUAUUCGGAAGAACACCAGUGGCGAAGGCGGCUCACUGGACAGGUAUUGACGCUGAGGUGCGAAAGCGUGGGGAGCAAACA
rnacentral:rRNA from 1 species